AUUAAUAAUACACUAUGAUCCAUAGCUGACACAAUAUUUGUUUUUAUCUUUUUAUUUUUCAUUAAAAAAACAUAAUUGCCCCCUGCAUACUUUGACUUGGUGGAAAAAGUUUGGACACCGCUGACGUAAGGUAUCAAAAGUAUUUAUUUGGGGAUCGAUAUUAGAGCAUACAUAUCUGGCAUUGGCGGUAUCGAUAUCCCAGUAUCGAUCCGCACGUCACUAGUAUCUAACCCUGUUGGUCGACUUAGGGAUCUGACAUCAUGUCGUCGUUACCAUAUUAGGCUUGUUUUUAAAUGUUUUAAUAUGCUUUAUUUCAGUUAGCUGACUGUGUAAAACGUAUGAAUAUAUGUUCCUUUACAAUGAAAAAAGACGCCAUAGGGAAUGGCGUUUGGACCAGAGAAUGACGUAUGCGUUAUGUUGUCACGACGGCUGGAGACAAAAAGUGUGGCUUCUUGCUCAGAAUUGGCUUUUAAUUUGGUGUUGUUAAUACUUCGGCCAUUUGUUUGAGUUCCACGUCGUGUUUUUUUGUACUGGAAAAGAGCAGCUGUAUCUGCUAACCCCCCCCCCCACCCCCCACACACACACACACACCGCACUGGUAAUUUUCCACUGGGAUGUUCCGGUUCCUUCUCGAACGUUCUAGAAAUAUAUGUGUUCCUUUACUUGUAUUGUUGACUGGGCAUGACGUCAUAAAGUACACUGUUACAUACAACGCCACAAGUAUGGAAUGUGCUAUACAGAACGUCUGAAUAUUGAAGCAUGGUUUCAUCGUGUUGAGAAGGUGAAGACCUGGCUGUUUUCUGACAUGUUAUUCAUGAUACCAACAUUAGAAGGUGAAGACCUGGCUGUUUUCCGAACAUUUAUUUCGCCGACAAAGGCGUUAUCACUGCAGCAAAGUGAAAAAGUAGAUCCGACCAACAUUCUGGUUUUAUCCGGUUUUGGAGGUUUGAACUGCAGUCACUGGGAGAUUCAUGCACGCAGCCGUUGAGCAUGACGUCGGCUGUUUUGUUUCAAACUGAGAGAGGAACGUCGUCUUUCUUAACACAAUCUGACGUCUAAUUUUGUACUCCAUUUCGAAAUAUACGUAUUUAUUUUGCUCUUCAAACUAUCAGUUGCGUAUUGGCCACAAUCUCUGAUCGGAAACGUGGUACUAUUUUUGUUGUCGGACGGAUACGUAAUUUACCCUUGACGUACUCACACAGGGUAUAAGUAGGACCAGUGGCCGUCCUCCCUCACAUUUCUUCUUCUAUUCGUCGUCGUCUCGUUUGAGCCUCAGGUGAAAUUGUCUUUUUUGUGUAACUUUUUUUAUCCUAUUUGAAUUUUUUAUCGUUUAGAAUGCUUAUAACGAAGUUAUUUAUGUCUUUGUGGCACGAAAGUAGACUUAGACUUCCUUUUAUUGUCAUUCAAAUGUGAACAGUACAGAUAAGGACCCAGAUUAUCGACUACUCGAAUUGUAUGAGGCGACGUUUUCUUUUUCAUCAAGUUUUUAUUUAUUUUUUUAAAUAAGCUGUCACAUUGGUUGAAGCUUAAUCGAGAAAUCUUUGAUUCGAUACUUUUGUUUUAAUGGUCAAUGUUUUCGACGGUGAUAUUGUCAUUAUUACAAUUGUUUGAUACGUUUGCUUUUUUAAGGCAAUAUGGUAUUUUCAGUUAACUGUCACGUGGUCUUAAAAGGCGUUUACGUCUGCAUUUAAAAAAAGCUCAAGAUGGCCGCCGUGACGUAGUAGCCUUACCCAGCUGCUAUUGGUUGAUUUAAACCACCAGGACUCUUCCCCUUCUGUCUGCUGGCUUGCAGAUUUUUUUAAAGUCACCCCAGAAUGGCCAAGGUCAGUUACUUUUGUAAAUUUUAAACCCCCAGUUUUAAGACCUUGCGCUAAAAUGUUAAACCAACUCAAAGCGAUCAAAAUGUUUUGUUGUACCUGGCCAGCAACCGUUAUUUGUGACUUUGAAGAUGCCAAGUUAGACCCCAUUGUUUUGUUCUUUGUUGCAACGGUUUUUACUUGUAAACAAAAAAAUUUCAUUUGUACUUUGUUAGCAAAACUUUUAUUGCUACAUAGCUGACUGUAAUGUCAUACUAUUUAAACAGGAGUGAGCAGCCGUUUUAAUGGCCAAGACUUGCCAGCCAUUAUUUGGAUGACUCAAUUGGCAAUUUAUGGCUUUGACCAAAAAAAAGUCAGCCAAGACUUAAAAAAAAAAAAAAAAAAAGGCAAUUUAUGGCUUUGACCAAAAAAAGUCAGCCAAGACUUAAAAAAUAAAAAUUAAAAAAAGCCAGCCAUUUGGUUGACUCAAUUGGCAAUGUAUGGCUUCAACCAAAAAAGUCAGCCAAGACUUAAAAAAAUAAUAAUAAUUUUGAAAAAAAUUGCCAAUUUAUGGCUUUGAUCCAAAAAAAAAGUCAGCCUGGACUAAAAAAAAAGGCAAUUUAUUGCUUUGACUAAAAAAAAAAGCAAAAUAUGGCUUUGACCAAAAAAAGUCAGCCCAGACUAAAAAAAAAAAAAGGCAAUUUAUGGCUUUGACUUAAAAAAAAAAAAAAAAAAUUGCCAGCCAUUAUUUGGUUGA